rnacentral:rRNA from 1 species
UACAGAGGCCUCGAGCGUUAGGCGGAAUCACUGGGCUUAAAGCGUGUGUAGGCGGAUUGGUAAGUACCUUGUGAAAUCCCACAGCUUAACUGUGGAACUGCUCGGUAUACUGCUGAUCUUGAGCCACUCAGGGGCUACCGGAACAAAUGGUGGAGCGGUGAAAUCGAGAUAUCAUUUGGAACGCCAAUGGUGAAAAACAGGGUAG